rnacentral:rRNA from 1 species
UACGAAGGGGGCUAGCGUUGCUCGGAAUCACUGGGCGUAAAGCGCACGUAGGCGGAUCUUUAAGUCAGGGGUGAAAUCCUGGAGCUCAACUCCAGAACUGCCUUUGAUACUGGGGAUCUCGAGUCCGGAAGAGGUGAGUGGAACUCCGAGUGUAGAGGUGAAAUUCGUAGAUAUUCGGAAGAACACCAGUGGCGAAGGCGGCUCACUGGUCCGGUACUGACGCUGGGGUGCGAAAGCGUGGGGAGCAAACAGG